rnacentral:rRNA from 1 species
CCAGCAUCCUAGCCGAAGCGCGGACCUCAGUCCCGGCUGGCCGUAUUACACCCUGGGCUAUAACACCUCCACCGAAGUGGAGGCCACAUUCCCAGAGCCUUUAUCCGGCCGCCGAAACUGAUGCUGGCCUGUCCAAACUGAGUAAACCGGUCAGAAGACCGGCCGAACAGUUUAAACAAGUCUGAUUGCAAGCGCUUCCCUUUCAACAAUUUCACGUGCUUUUUAACUCUCUUUCCAAAGUGCUUUUCAUCUUUCGAUCACUCUACUUGUGCGCUAUCGGUCUCUCGCCAAUAUUUAGCUUUAGAAGAAAUUUACCUCCCAUUUAGAGCUGCAUUCCCAAACAACUCGACUCGUCGAAGGAGAUUUACAUAGGGUGCCAUUUCCUGUCACAUACGGGAUUCUCACCCUCUAUGACGUCCUGUUCCAAGGAACUUAGACAGGCGGCUUCCCCAAAUCAUCCUCUACAAAUUACAAUGCGAACCCGAAGGCUAGCUUUCAAAUUUGAGCUGUUGCCGCUUCACUCGCCGUUACUAGGGCAAUCCCUGUUG